AUAUUUCAGUUAUUCAAAUUCAAUAAAACUCAUGGUGUAUACUGUAGUCUAGUUUGUUGAUUUUUUUUGCCGUGGUGAUGGUAUUAUUUUUUCUGUUUAGAGGUAUUAAAAAGGUCUUAAAAGUCAUUACAUUUGUACUUAAAAAUGUGCAGAUACCCUGUUAGAUGAAACCGCGCCCACUUCAGUAUGACGAAAGCCUCGACAGCUGCGUUCCCAUGGAAAACGCAUUCAAGUGGGUCCCGCAGAAUAUGACAGCUGUUACGGACUGAGCAGACCGGAGACACCAAGAUGAUACGGAUAGAGUUUUUAUUGCACACGAUGUAAACAGCUAACGAGGAGAUGGUACUUAUACCAUCCUUUGGCUAGCUUAGCUGGAGAUCUGGGGGAGUAGCGACACACACUGGAGACUGGAAACUGGAGACUGGACAGGAAUCAGGAAACUCAGGAGAAGGGAAGACACUUGCAGAUGCGAGGUAGGAGUCCGAGACGUAGUGAUGGCUGGAUACAAAGAUCUGUCCUACUACAAACGAGACCGGACACUGACUGAGGAAGAAGUGGACUGACAAAGAAAUCCAGGCUGUGUAGAAAGCUCUCAAGGACGACAUCAGGUCUGGGAAGGUUCCUGGGAAAGCCCAGUGUGUCCCAGUGCAUUGAGACUUCACCAAUGACACUUGAAGACAGGAGUUGGGAAGGAGUGAAAUUCUAUGUAAAUAAAACGCAUUGAUGCUGCAGACUCUGUGAAACAAAGUGGACAUGUUUGCAUUGGUCAUAUGCUGCAAACACAGCCCCUUUUAUGUGAACGUGCUCAAAUUGGGAAACCCUGGGUUGACUUACCAUGUUGAUAACAACUGUCGUGUGACUGCUUAUCCUGAAUGCGGUUGUUAGGGUAAGUGAAGCCAGAUAACAAAAAGAUAUCCUGGGUAUGUUGAACUUGCUUCAUAGUACAAGCCUCAGGUGUUUCCAGUGUCUUUUCCCUUCCCUGAGGCCUGUACUAGGAAGCUCUGUCAGCCGCAUUAGUAAUAUACUGAGUUUAGCUCCUCGUGUUUUUGCCUGCAACUAACAACAACUAACUAGCACAUCGACCUCUUGCCUCGCCUGCCUGCCACUCUGCCUUCACUCCCUGCUCGGCUCAGCUUGGACUUCCUGCAUCCCCUUACCCUCCACCAAGGCCAGCCGGUGUCCUCCCACAUCCUCUCAUCCUCCAUUCCUCAUCUUUUGCAAUAAAUUCCUGUAUUGUUCAUCUAA